rnacentral:rRNA from 1 species
AUGGCCAACGUUGUCCUCAACUUCAACGCGUUCCUAGAGAAAACCAAGCUGAAAGAUGAUGGUAGCAACUAUACGGACUGGGUCCGGAACCUGAGGAUCAUCCUCAUAGCUGCCAAGAAAGAUUAUGUCCUACGAGCACCGCUAGGUGAAGCACCUGCUUUCCCUGCAGAACAAGACGUUAUGAACGCUUGGCAGACACGUGCUGAUGAUUACUCCCUCAUUCAGUGCGGCAUGCUUUACAGCUUAGAACUGGGGCUCCAAAAGCAUUUUGAGCGACACAGAACAUAUGAGAUGUUCGAAGAGCUGAAAAUGGUUUUCCAAGCUCAUGCCCGGGUCGAGAGAUAUGAAGUCUUCGACAAGUUCUUCAGCUGUAAGAUGGAGGAAAAUAGUUCUGUUAGUGAGCACAUACUCAGA